AUGCUCAGAGAACACUUAAGGCGAGCUCAAGAGCGGAUCAAGGCUCAAGCAGACAAGCGCCGACAGGAUCAACAUUUUGUUGUGGGUGAAGCAGUGCUGUUGAAGUUGCAACCCUAUGCACAGACUUCUCUGGUCAACCGUCCUUGUGCCAAAUUGGCCUUGAAAUUCUAUGGACCCUUCAAGGUGACAGAGAAGAUUGGCGCAGCAGCUUAUCGCCUAGAUCUUCCUCUAGACUGCUUAAUUCAUCCGGUGUUCCACGUUUCACAGUUGAAGCCCUUCACUGCUGACUAUUCUCCAGUAUUUGCUGAACUACCAGCACCACCUGACCUAUCUACAAUUUCUCUUCAUCCUGAGGCGAUCCUGGAGCGUCGUUUGGUUAAGAAAGGAAAUGAAGCGACUCCAUAGAUCAGGGUCAAGUGGCAAGGACUGGCAGAGGAUCACGCUACCUGGGAAGAUUACAACGUUCUUCGAGCACGUUUUCCACUUAGUUCUCUUUGGGAUGGGGCUUCGUCUUCAGGUGGGGAUAGUGUCACGCCCCCACCUUGA
rnacentral:rRNA from 1 species